GACUAAGCGUACACGGUGGAUGCCUAGGCAGUCAGAGGCGAUGAAGGGCGUGCUAAUCUGCGAAAAGCGUCGGUAAGGUGAUAUGAACCGUUACAACCGGCGAUACCCGAAUGGGGAAACCCAGUGUGUUUCGACACAUUAUCAUGUCAUGAAUACAUAGUGGCAUGAGGCGAACCGGGGGAACUGAAACAUCUAAGUACCCCGAGGAAAAGAAAUCAACCGAGAUUCCCCCAGUAGCGGCGAGCGAACGGGGAGGAGCCCAGAACCUGAAUCGGCU
rnacentral:rRNA from 1 species